UCGUUAAGAUACCUCAAAGAGGUUGAGGGUCCCGUAGUCGCUGACGAUAGCCUGGCAGUUGAACACGUGAUGGAAGUGUAUUGCGAGAUUUUCGACACGCGACUUCAGAUCAGCAGCUGUUGGGUCCCCUCGACACAUGUUCAAUAUCUGCGAUAAAAAAUAAACGCAAGCAUUUAACUUAACGAAAUUUCUCGUGAAAACAAGAGUACGCAGAUGGUUAAAAUGGAUUUUGAAUUGUUCGGCGAGGAGUGAUGCGUCAGCAACGACGUACUCAAGCCGAUUUCAUCGUGAACGAUAACUUCAAGCCAGCACUCCCUUUAAAACGCACUACAAUCGUCCUUACCUGACGGUUACCAUUAUAUAGUUUUGCUUGAUAACG